GAUGAAGAACGCAGCGAAAUGCGAUACUUGGUGUGAAUUGCAGAAUCCCGUGAACCAUCGAGUCUUUGAACGCAAGUUGCGCCCGAAGCCUCGGCUAAGGGCACGUCUGCCUGGGCGUCACGCAUCGCGUCUCCCCCAAACCGCCAAGGCGGAGGGGAAGGAAGAUGGCUUCCCGUGCCUCACCCGGGCGCGGUUGGCCUAAAUUUGGAGCCCGCGGCACUUAGCUCUCGCGGCGAUAGGUGGUGAACAAGGCCUUGGCCGUGCAAACAACCCGCUGCGAAGCUCUAUGUCACGUGCGCUCGUCGGACCCUUUGAAGUUGCCUUUGGUGACUUAAAACCUUUGGGACCCCAGGUCAGGCGGGGCUACCCGCUGAAUUUAAGCAUAUCAAUAAGCGGAGGA
rnacentral:misc_RNA from 1 species